CCGCUGGAAUAGGUUACUCAGAGAAGCCGUGGAUGCCCCAUCCCCAUGAGUGUUCAAGUCUGGCUUGGCUGGAGCUCGGAGCAACCUGUUCCAGUGUCUCUGCCUGUGGCACGGGGAUUGGGACUGGGUGACCGUCAAGGUCCUUUCCAACUCGAACCAAUCUGCGGUUUCAUGAUCUUGUUGUAAGGUGUUGCUCCGCUUAAUCUCUGCCUUUCCGUGCUGCUGGGAAAAGGCGGGUGGGCUUCGGCGGCGGGAUGUUGGGCUGUGUUUGGGAUGCGCUUGGGAUGAUGGCUGUUGGGGUUGGAGGGGUGCAGAUUUCUCACCAGCGUGCUUGGCUUUUAAGAUCAGUAUUAGAUUUAAAAUUACUGUUGCCUGUCUCUUAACAGGAGCUGCUAUAAACUUAACACAGCAAUGCCGUAACAUUAUUAACCUGUAGUUAAUUUUUAAUUUCAAUAGGUGACUCGAGUCACCAGUCAUUUAUGGCAUCAUUUUUCUCAUGCAGAACCCUCACUUCUUUCAGAUAGUCUUAAAAUCUGUGGGCAUUCCGAGGACUGGAAUCUGAAUUUGGGUUUCACUGCAUGUUAGAGUUUGGAUAGGAUACUUAGAGUGUCUUACAGACUCCUUAGAGUUUGGAUAAGUGAAUUUUAACUCUCUUGCUUAUUGUCUUUUGUAGAUUUGUCUACCAGCAACUACAGAAAAUUAAUGAAUUUAACUACAAAUACCAAUGGUCUCUGUCAGUGCACCUGCCCAUCAUCUCAAGGACAUCACAACAUGCUGCUGUGCUUUUUUAAACCCAGAUGGCCUGGUCUGGUGGAAAUUUUUCAGGUGGAGAUAUACAGGAGCAAGCUCUACCAUUUAAUAAGGAGGAUUAAAAGUAAGAUCAGGAAACACCCAGCCCAAAUGUGUGAGACAGAUAUGGCAGGUCAGAUUUCAGGCUAUCCUAAAAUGGACCAAAGUGGAAAUGAGUCUUACAGCAUGGGAGAUGAAAAUAAUGAAAGCAAAUAAAAUCUUGCAAAAAAUAACUGUCCUGUUGCCUGUGUAUCAGAUGCCUCAAAAUAUGAGUUUUCGCUAUUGUGAUAUGAGCCUGAGCAUCAUCCUUAUGCCUCUCACUGUUGUGAAGUGAACACCUUGUUUGGAGAAGCAGUGGCUCAUUUGCAGCUUGACAAACCCUGCAGUGCUGACUUCUCUUCUAUAUUCCAAGAGAAAGGAUGGAGAGGCCCAGUCUGUGAAUCUUAGCACCUCUCUCAUUUUACAGUGUUUGAACCCAGACCUUUGCUGGGGAGGUAAAAACCCCUAGAGCUGAACCAAGGUGUAAACAUCACAACAAAAAUAGCUGCAAGCUAGAUGUGAAGGGUCAGCUCUUUCUGUGGAAGAUGCUUGUGCCUUAAAGCUGGGUUCUGAGAGAAGGCAGCACUUUUACAACACGUGCAAUAGAGCACUAGAGCCAGAAAAAGCUGAGCAAAUCCAUUGAAAGGGUCAUGCUGUGGAUCGUGGUUUUAAAUGUGUAUUAUCCCACAACCAAGUGGAUCUUAGUGGAAAAUCAUUGAAAAAUCACACAAGCGGAUAAAAGAAACCCACCAGUGCCUCAUCUCUGAAAGUGCUUUUAUGUCACAAGAUGCCCGGAAACUGCACAGAAACAGCCAUCAAAGGAGACCUCGUCCCAGUGCAUGGUGUAACUCUCAUCUUCUGAAACUGAGCAGAUAAGAAAUCUUCAUAUAGCUUGCUUACCCUUAUCGGGAUGUGGUUAGAUGUCCACACAGUGAUUUUACCAGUCCUAUGACAUGGAGGCCCUUUAGGUCGCUGGCUUCAGCUCCGUCACAGUAUUCUUACAUGUGCUGGUGGUGCCUUGACCACUGAACCAGACUGGAGAAACUGGUGUACACUGAAUUGGAAGGUCAGAAAAGAAUUAAAGGAGCAGAUGAAAAAUCACAGAACUUCUACAUCAGUUUUGUCUUCAUUUUGGGAUCAAGUAUUCAAGACCAGACAUCAAAUGAAUGGACAUCACAAAACAAAUCCAUCAUAAAAAAACCAAACCCACAAAGGAAAGAGAGAGACAGAAGAAAGAAGCCUGAAGAUAAUCCUGUGUGCUCCAACACAAAAGCAACUAGAAAGAAAGAUUCAAGGUAAUUUAAAUGCCAUACCUACAAUAGCCCCCCUGAAGUGCAAACUCCUGAAACCAGCAACUACCUUUAGUUCCAGCCUGUGGCUGUCUCUUAAUUCUUUCUGCUGAAGGCCCU